rnacentral:rRNA from 1 species
CGUUCGUAGUUGAAUUUGUGCUUCAUACGGGUAGUACAACUACAAUUGUGGAUUGUACAUUACCUUAUGUAUGCAAGCGUAUUAUCGGUGGAGUUCUUAUACAUUUAUGAUACUUAUGUACCAUUAUGUAUUCCUCCUAUUAAAACCUGCUUCAGUGCUCUUCAUCGAGUGCUGUUGUGGGCCGUUACAAUUACUUUGAACAAAUUAGAGUGCUUAAAGCAGGCUCCAAAUGCCUGAAUAUUUUGUGCAUGGAAUAAUGAAAUAAGACUUCUGAUCUACUUUCAUUGGUUUUUAGAUCAAGAGGUAAUGAUUAAUAGAAGCAGAUUGGGGGCAUUAGUAUUACGACGCGAGAGGU